CACAUAUUGGCUUUAAGGGCGGUCGGCUAAUCUCCCGGAAGGGAGGUGAUGCCUGUGGAGGUUAAAGACGCUUUGACGCUUAUGAUCAGUUUCGGCUCGAUGAUUAUCACGCUGCUGACUCUGGUUGUGACCAUCGUCAUCGUGCUUAUCCAAAACAAAAAGAAAUAGACCGCCCUCGAUAAGGUAAACGGUCUAUUCCAUCGUAAAACCUUUAAGCUGACCGCUCUUACAGCGGAUGUGCAGGAGUCGUGUUACCGCACGGCUC
rnacentral:sRNA from 1 species